CCCCCAGGAAGAUGACUUCAAUUCGCAUUACGAAAAUUUACUGCUGGACACCAUAUUCCAGGCUCUCUUAGAUUUUAAGCACUGUGUCACACGCGACCAGCAUGGAAUCGUCGAUUUGGUCAUUGUUAUGAUCUCAAACUUGAAGACUGUGCGUGAGUGUUCAAGUUCUGAUGGUUCCCUCAGCGAAGAGAAGCUUGAGAAUGCUCUUAAAAAUCUUUGCAACAAUGGUGGGAUGGUUCCGCUUCACAUACGGGCCCAGAAUACAGGCAUAUUGGUCGGCAAGGUCGCCAACUCCGUUAAUUUCGAGUUAUUUGAACUAUCUCCACUCAAUCAAGCGG
rnacentral:sRNA from 1 species